rnacentral:lncRNA from 12 species
GUUCACCACAAGACUAAUAAUGUGCACAGAGUACAUUCAGAUUUCAUGUGGACUUUAAAUAAGAUAUUGUACACUGAUGGAUAUGGACCCUUUUCACAUUUCUUCAGUUGGUAAACUCCUAUAAUAGUGAACGGGAACUGCUACAAUAUAAUAUAAUAUAUACAUAUUUUUGUGUUCUCAUUUGCAACAAUAGCAAAAGAAAAAUGCAUGAUGGCUUUCCAAAAGUGGGAAAAGGGAAAAAGUCCAUUAUAAUAAAUAUGCAGUAACAUGGUAUUAAAGAAAUUAACUCAGUUUGGACGAGAUCUCAUGUUUAUUUUACAGUUACUGCACGGUAAACACUGUAUAACGACGGUAUCUGCUGAAUAGCGUGUGCUGUGGAAUAUUCGUGAAAUGGUUUUCUUCUUGUGUGGCUCUGAUCAUAUCCACCAGCGAGCGCUGUUCUCUUAAAGUCCUCAGCCUUCGUCGUGGUUCCUUUUGUCCGCAGUUUUGUAGUCAACAUCCUUAUUAUAAACUACUCUCGGAGCCCUCCAAUAGAAGACGAGAAUCCCGGACAGACAGCCACUCCCACCAAUGACAGCCCGAGCUCGAUUUCCGCCAGCCAAUCAGCGACGCGGAGGCGGGCUCGUAGAGGGGAGGGUUCGCAUGUUUCACUACGUUGGCUUUUCUCCCAGAAAGAUUUCGGUGUGGGAAUUUAAAUUGUACAUUUCUGAGGCGGUCGGAGGCUCUUUAACCGGAGACCACAUCCUCAAAGAUUCGCCGAGCGCGUCCAGACUCAAUAAGUGUGCCGGCCGUGAUGACGACAGAGGUGGGAUCAGAGAGCGACGUGAAGAAGGUUCCUGAAGUCCAGCAGCAGACAGCCCCGGCCAGUGCUGAGCCGUCACAGGAGGAGAGCCCGAGCGAUCCGGAAGCGGCUGCGUCUCCGGAGCCCAGCAGUCCUCCUGCUGACGGAGGCCCGAAGAAAGAGAAGGGCAUCUCCCGCUUCCUGCCUCCAUGGCUUAAAAGACAGAAAUCACAGAGCCAGGACAAGCCCGGCGAGAGCUCAGCGCCGCCCAAGCAGGAGAGCGUGGAGGCCGUGAAGGAGGAGCAGGAGGAGACGCACGGAGCAGGCGCAGUGACCGCCAGCACAGAGCAGACGGAGGAGGAGAAGUCUAUCGGCAGUGCUGACACACAGGUGAGACAAACACUGAGGAAUGAGCAGCAGAUCAGCACAUUAGAAUGA